rnacentral:rRNA from 1 species
UCAUCUUCGGGGGUAGAGCACUGUUUCGGCUAGGGGGUCAUCCCGACUUACCAACCCGAUGCAAACUACGAAUACCGAAGAAUGUUAUCACGGGAGACACACGGCGGGUGCUAACGUCCGUCGUGAAGAGGGAAACAACCCAGACCGCCAGCUAAGGUCCCAAAGUCAUGGUUAAGUGGGAAACGAUGUGGGAAGGCACAGACAGCCAGGAUGUUGGCUUAGAAGCAGCCAUCAUUUAAAGAAAGCGUAAUAGCUCACUGGUCGAGUCGGCCUGCGCGGAAGAUGUAACGGGGCUAAACCAUGCACCGAAGCUGCGGCAGCGACACUAUGUGUUGUUGGGUAGGGGAGCGUUCUGUAAGCCUGCGAAGGUGACCUGUGAGGGUUGCUGGAGGUAUCAGAAGUGCGAAUGCUGACAUAAGUAACGAUAAAGCGGGUGAAAAGCCCGCUCGCCGGAAGACCAAGGGUUCCUGUCCAACGUUAAUCGGGGCAGGGUGAGUCGACCCCUAAGGCGAGGCCGAAAGGCGUAGUCGAUGGGAAACAGGUUAAUAUUCCUGUACUUGGUGUUACUGCGAAGGGGGGACGGAGAAGGCUAUGUUAGCCGGGCGACGGUUGUCCCGGUUUAAGCAUGUAGGCUGAUUGUCCAGGCAAAUCCGGAUAAUCAAGGCUGAGGUGUGAUGACGAGGCACUACGGUGCUGAAGUAACAAAUGCCCUGCUUCCAGGAAAAGCCUCUAAGCAUCAGGUAACAUCAAAUCGUACCCCAAACCGACACAGGUGGUCAGGUAGAGAAUACCAAGGCGCUUGAGAGAACUCGGGUGAAGGAACUAGGCAAAAUGGUGCCGUAACUUCGGGAGAAGGCACGCUGGUGUGUAGGUGAAGUCCCUGCGGAUGGAGCUGAGACCAGUCGAAGAUACCAGCUGGCUGCAACUGUUUAUUAAAAACACAGCACUGUGCAAACACGAAAGUGGACGUAUACGGUGUGACGCCUGCCCGGUGCCGGAAGGUUAAUUGAUGGGGUUAUCCGUAAGGAGAAGCUCUUGAUCGAAGCCCCGGUAAACGGCGGCCGUAACUAUAACGGUCCUAAGGUAGCGAAAUUCCUUGUCGGGUAAGUUCCGACCUGCACGAAUGGCGUAAUGAUGGCCAGGCUGUCUCCACCCGAGACUCAGUGAAAUUGAACUCGCUGUGAAGAUGCAGUGUACCCGCGGCAAGACGGAAAGACCCCGUGAACCUUUACUAUAGCUUGACACUGAACAUUGAGCCUUGAUGUGUAGGAUAGGUGGGAGGCUUUGAAGCGUGGACGCCAGUCUGCGUGGAGCCAACCUUGAAAUACCACCCUUUAAUGUUUGAUGUUCUAACGUUGGCCCCUUACCGGGGUUGCGGACAGUGUCUGGUGGGUAGUUUGACUGGGGCGGUCUCCUCCCAAAGCGUAACGGAGGAGCACGAAGGUUAGCUAAUCCUGGUCGGACAUCAGGAGGUUAGUGCAAUGGCAUAAGCUAGCUUGACUGCGAGCGUGACGGCGCGAGCAGGUGCGAAAGCAGGUCAUAGUGAUCCGGUGGUUCUGAAUGGAAGGGCCAUCGCUCAACGGAUAAAAGGUACUCCGGGGAUAACAGGCUGAUACCGCCCAAGAGUUCAUAUCGACGGCGGUGUUUGGCACCUCGAUGUCGGCUCAUCACAUCCUGGGGCUGAAGUAGGUCCCAAGGGUAUGGCUGUUCGCCAUUUAAAGUGGUACGCGAGCUGGGUUUAGAACGUCGUGAGACAGUUCGGUCCCUAUCUGCCGUGGGCGCUGGAGAAUUGAGGGGGGCUGCUCCUAGUACGAGAGGACCGGAGUGGACGCAUCACUGGUGUUCGGGUUGUCAUGCCAAUGGCACUGCCCGGUAGCUAAAUGCGGAAGAGAUAAGUGCUGAAAGCAUCUAAGCACGAAACUUGCCCCGAGAUGAGUUCUCCCUGAGACUUUAAGUCUCCUGAAGGAACGUUAAAGACGAUGACGUUGAUAGGCCGGGUGUGUAAGCGCAGCGAUGCGUUGAGCUAACCGGUACUAAUGAACCGUGAGGCUUAACCUU